GACAGAGGUGCCAAGCGUUAGGCGGAAUCACUGGGCUUAAAGCGUGUGUAGGCGGAUUUGUAAGUACCUUGUGAAAUCCCACGGCUCAACCGUGGAACUGCUCGGUAUACUGCUUAUCUUGAGCCACUUAGGGGCUACCGGAACAAAUGGUGGAGCGGUGAAAUGCGUAGAUAUCAUUUGGAACGCCAAUGAUGAAAACAGGUAGCUGGGAGUGUGCUGACGCUGAGACACGAAAGCCAGGGGAGCGAACGGG
rnacentral:rRNA from 1 species